rnacentral:rRNA from 1 species
GACGAACGCUGGCGGCGUGCUUAACACAUGCAAGUCGAACGCUGAAGCUCAGCUUUUGUUGGGUGGAUGAGUGGCGAACGGGUGAGUAACACGUGAGUAACCUGCCUCCGUCUUUGGGAUAACGCCCGGAAACGGGUGCUAAUACUGGAUAUGCACUGGUCUUCGCAUGGGGGGUGUGGGAAAGGGCUGUUCUGGUGGGGGAUGGGGUCGCUGCCUAUCAGCUUGUUGGUGGGGUGAUGGCCUACCAAGGCGUUGACGGGUAGCCGGCCUGAGAGGGUGACAGGGAACAUGGGGAGCGAGAUAGGGACAAGACUACGACGGGAGGAAGUAGGGGGGACUAUUGUACGAUGGGCGGCAGAAUGAUGCAGCGCCGGAGGGUGAGGGAUGGAGGGCUUCGGGUUGUGAACCUGUUUGGAACAUGGUUAAGCCGCAAAAAUGGUUGUGGUGAGGGUAGUGGGUAAAGAAGCGCCGGCUAACUACGUG